AGCUCUCAAACGAAUAAUAAAUGAGAAGGAUGAACAGCUUCAACAGAUGAAAUCUACACUAAAAGAAAAGCAAAAGGAAACUGAUGUCAUCCUGCAAAG